GCUCAAAUAAAAAGCCGGAGAAAAGAAGCAAAAAGCUGAAGAAGAAAUUAAAAAGCGUGGAUGAAGGUGAGAGUCGUCCUCACGCCAGCGGAGGACAGGAGAGAUCAUCAGACAAGAAGAGGAAGAAGAAAAUCAAGGCGAGGACUGAUGAGAUCCAGGAGGAACCGGCGGCAAAGAAGGGGAGUAAAGACAGAAAUAAAACCCCCAAAAAAAUUAAAAAGAAAAAACCUAAAGAGGAGCAUCAUGAUGCCGUCGAGAAGAGAGCAAAUAAAGCUGCCCGCCGACUCGCCCUACAGAGGGACAUUGACAAGGAAUCACAGCCGAAGCCGACUCUUGGCCAGUGGGGCACGGCACAGUUCGACAGCUCUGACAGACAAGCCAAGUUCCUGCGCUUGAUGGGCGGGUUUAAAAAGAGCAGCCAGCCCCUCACAGGAUUCUCUGGCCAGGCUAACAUGGCGCUAGGAAAAGAAAGCCAACAGACUUUGCAGCAAGGCCUUCUGGGAGAGUUUGAGCGCGCACAGAGCCGCAAUAUGGACUUCAGGAAUAAAGGAGUCGGACUGGGGUUCGCGGCGCCGUCC
rnacentral:lncRNA from 1 species